GUUUCAGCUAGUUCUCAAUUUGGUCCAGUGUUCAAGCCCAACCUUUGGAGUCGAGUCCCACCUCCUACCUCAGAACCACCACCAUAAUCAGGAUUUAGAAUGCAUCACCCCAAAAUGUUUCUUCAUGUCCCUGGCCCCUUGCUUUCAAUCUCCUACAGCUCCUAGAUGUGGAAUGUAUGCCCUGCAGGCUGGUCUCUUUCCUGAGAGCUGAGAUGUCCUGUCCUAAGAACAGAGCCUGGCACGUGUCGGACAACUGUGGAGGGAACUGAUGAGUGAAAGAGAGAAUAGAGAAAUAAAUGAAUCAGCAUAAGCCCCACAGGGACAAAGACUGUAACUGGAGCACCCUUUCAUCCCCACUGCUGGACACAGGGUGGGGAACACUAAAUGUGCGCUACGCAUUGUUUAUCGAAACAGGCUCUACAUCAAAAUAAAAAACAAAACAAAAAAACAGGAAGCUUUUCUGGAUCAAGGCUAGCGUUUUACAGUUGAGAUAUGGAAGCCCAAGGAAGAAGGGAAAUUUGAGAUUUGCUUGUAGCCUCUGAGCUGGUCAGCUGGGAAGCUCUGGCCAAGGUGGGGUUGUUGAGCCCCAGGUAAAAGCCCCACCCAGCCCCUCUUCUUGCUGUCUGCAACAGGGCAGCCACACUCUGUGCUCACCAGGGAGUCUUAUCUGGAGUUCAAUUCCCAAGACCUGACCUUCGGGGCCUCCCAAUAAAAGGGCAGAGAUCUUUCCUCAUGAAUACGCUGGGCCCUUGCGGCUCCCUCAACUCUCAGCAGCCGCCACAGAUCCAUUCUCCUCUCUGGCCCCAAGAGCACACCUGCUUGCAGGUUUCUGGAUAGGGCUAAAAUGAAACCAGGACAGGUGUCAGGUGAAGGGCCGAGGUCUAGGCCUAAGGGGUGCUGCUUUGCCCAGAAAGGCCCAGAUGAGCCAGCCUUGAUUUGCAGCACUUAGAAGAGCCCCUGUGGCUUUUGGCAACUCAGGACAAUAGGUGAACUCCCAGGAAAGUCACUCUCCUUCCAGGCCCAGCCCAAAUGCUACCUCCUCCAGAAGGCUUUGCUGCCUCCAGCACUGGUGUGAUGUACCCCUGCUUGGUGGGAGUCCCCGCCUCUGGGUCUCCAGUCACUUCUCAGUGGCCUCCCUCUCAGCUUGUUCAUCUGUCGUUGCAUAGGACCGUGUGCGUCAACACCAGGACAAUGUUUCUGGUCUUCUUUGAACCUUCUGUGUCCAGCACAGUGCCUGACUCCCAGCAGGUACUCAGGAAAUACUUCUGACAAGUAGAAAAGGCCUCUCUGCAUCUUUAGAACUAGAGAAGCCAAAAGAAACUGAAAAGAUGCUCUAUAAGAGGCUCAGGGGUUACAGGAGGAAAGGCUGUGAAGGAAAAGGAUGCAGCCCAGGCCAACAAGCUGAGAUCUCUGGCCGUCCUGUCGCCUUUCUGGGCCUCAGGGCCACGAGGCUGCUGGAUGCAGUGGGACUGACCCCUGCUGUCCACCCUAGGACAGUCAGAUCACAUGAUCCGUAUUAGAUAAAAAAAGCAAAUAUACACCUUUGUUUAAGAUGCCACAUGCCUGAUCAAAGUAAAGGCUGUUUGCUCAACCACUUGUUAAACUCAGGAAUAGCAGACUUGCUCAUCUGAACCCAAGCUUGCAGACAGGACGGGAGAGCAGAACUCAUGCCCGAGGGCUUUCCCCGGAGAAAAGUCAGGGCUGGAAUGCUUGCCAGGACAGCUUGGAAGGUGGAAGGCGGCGGCAGCACCUGUCCUCAGUGUGU